rnacentral:rRNA from 1 species
GUGGUAAUGCCGGAUGCUCCAGCAUACCGCAUGGUGUGUUGGGAAAGCCUUUGCGGCAUGGGAUGGGGUCGCGUCCUAUCAGCUUGAUGGCGGGGUAACGGCCCACCAUGGCUUCGACGGGUAGCCGGCCUGAGAGGGCGACCGGCCACAUUGGGACUGAGAUACGGCCCAGACUCCUACGGGAGGCAGCAGUGGGGAAUAUUGCACAAUGGGCGCAAGCCUGAUGCAGCGACGCCGCGUGAGGGAUGGAGGCCUUCGGGUUGUAAACCUCUUUUGUUAGGGAGCAAGGCAUUUUGUGUUGAGUGUACCUUUCGAAUAAGCACCGGCUAACUACGUGCCAGCAGCCGCGGUAAUACGUAGGGUGCAAGCGUUAUCCGGAAUUAUUGGGCGUAAAGGGCUCGUAGGCGGUUCGUCGCGUCCGGUGUGAAAGUCCAUCGCUUAACGGUGGAUCCGCGCCGGGUACGGGCGGGCUUGAGUGCGGUAGGGGAGACUGGAAUUCCCGGUGUAACGGUGGAAUGUGUAGAUAUCGGGAAGAACACCA